GACAGAGGCCUCGAGCGUUAGGCGGAAUCACUGGGCUUAAAGCGUGUGUAGGCGGAUCGUUAAGUACCUUGUGAAAUCCCACGGCUCAACCGUGGAACGGCUGGGUAUACUGGCGGUCUUGGGCCAUUCAGGGGCGACUGGAACAAGCGGUGGAGCGGUGAAAUGCGUAGAUAUCAGGAAGAACACCCGUGGCUAAGGCGGCUCUCUAGUACGGUACUGACGCUGAGACGCGAAAGCGUGGGGAGCGAACAGG
rnacentral:rRNA from 1 species